AUGGAAGCCCCAGCGCAGCUUGUCUGCCUCCUGCUGCUCUGGCUCCCAGGCACCUUUGGAGAAAUUAUCCUGACACAGUCUCCAGCCUCCCUAUCAUUGUCACGAGGAGAUCAGGCCAGGAUCUCCUGCCGAGUCAGUCAGUUUAUUAUCAGCUCAUUAUACUGGUACCAGCAGAGACCUGGGCAGGCUCCCAGGCUCCUCAUCUACUAUGCAAACAGCAGGCCCGAUGGCAUCCCAGCCCGCUUCAGCAGCAGCGGGUCUGGGACAGACUUCUCGCUCACCAUCACCAGCCUGGAGCCUGAGGAUGUCGCCAUUUACUACUAUCAGCAGGAUUACAUACCUCCCACAGUGACACAGGCCUGA